GAUUCAACCUCCCACUUCAGCAGCUCUGACUAAGAGCAUCUUUCUGUAUAGCAAUCCCGGGGCAAAUUCUGAUUGGCUUUGCUGGGGUCACAUGCCCAUCCUUGUGCCAAUCACUUGGCUAGGCUGAUGGGGGACUCUAAUUGGUCAGCUGGAGUCAUGUUGGGGCAGUGUCAUGGUUAGGGCUGCACCACAGGCAGGGAGUUGGUGAGGGGAGGUGUUCCAAAGGCAGAGAAGGAAGACAGAAAGUGUUGGGAAGACCUAACUAAGGUGGCCUUGUCCUGCACAGUGAGCAAGAUGUCCGGCCAGUUACGGGGGCUCACACCUGUAAUUCCAGCCCUUUGGAAGGCCAAGGUGCAGUGGCUCAUGCCUGUAAUCCCAGCACUUUGAGAGGCUGAGGUGGGAGAAUCACGUAAACCUAGGAGUUCGAGACCAGCCUAGGCAACAGCAAGACCUCAUCUCUACAAAAAGUAUAAAAAUUAUCCAGGUAUGUUGUACCUUAGUUCCAACUAUUCAGGAGACUGAGCUGGGAGGAUCGCUUGAGCCCUGGAGGUUGAGGCUACAAUGAGCUAUGAUUGUGCCACUGCACACAAUUAAAUAUUCGAUUAUUGCUAAAGACAUAAGAUGAAAAUGUCUCCCUCCCACCCCAGGAUCUCAGUUUCCCUUUCACCAAUAAUAAUGUAU
rnacentral:lncRNA from 13 species